CUUGCCCUGGGGAAGAAUCCACCAUUCCAGCUCAGGCUGUUCUGCUGCCAGCUCCUCCCCUCUGUGAGCAAUGAUCCUGACUUCAGUCCUUGCCUGAACAUUCCUUAUAGCACUUGCCUACUUUUUCCUGAAAUCAAGGCAAAGAUAGGACCCCGUGGGACUGCGCUGCAGGCAGGCGGACUGGCGUGUUCGUUAUAAAGACGGG
rnacentral:lncRNA from 1 species